rnacentral:rRNA from 1 species
GACGAACGCUGGCGGCGUGCCUAAUACAUGCAAGUAGGACGCAGUUGCGAACGGGUGAGUAACGCGUUGGUAACUGCCUAUUAGAGGGGGAUAACAAUUGGAAACGAUAGCUAAUACCGCAUACUAGUAUAUGGAACUGCGUUGGAUUAGCUAGUAGGUAGGGUAAUGGCCUACCUAGGCGUCGAUCCAUAGCCGACCUGAGAGGGUGAUCGGCCACACUGGGACGGAGUCACGGCCCAGACUCCUACGGGAGGCAGCAGUAGGGAAGCUUCGGCAAUGGGGGGAACCCUGACCGAGCAACGCCGCGUGAGUGAAGAAGGUUUUCGGAUCGUAAAGCUCUGUUGUUAAGGAAGCGGUACUUAACCAGAAAGGGACGGCUAACUACGUGCCAGCAGCCGCGGUAAUAC